rnacentral:rRNA from 4 species
AGAGUUUGAUCAUGGCUCAGAUUGAACGCUGGCGGCAGGCCUAACACAUGCAAGUCGAGCGGUAGCACAGAGAGCUUGCUCUCGGGUGACGAGCGGCGGACGGGUGAGUAAUGUCUGGGAAACUGCCUGAUGGAGGGGGAUAACUACUGGAAACGGUAGCUAAUACCGCAUAACGUCGCAAGACCAAAGUGGGGGACCUUCGGGCCUCAUGCCAUCAGAUGUGCCCAGAUGGGAUUAGCUAGUAGGUGGGGUAACGGCUCACCUAGGCGACGAUCCCUAGCUGGUCUGAGAGGAUGACCAGCCACACUGGAACUGAGACACGGUCCAGACUCCUACGGGAGGCAGCAGUGGGGAAUAUUGCACAAUGGGCGCAAGCCUGAUGCAGCCAUGCCGCGUGUGUGAAGAAGGCCUUCGGGUUGUAAAGCACUUUCAGCGGGGAGGAAGGCGGUGAGGUUAAUAACCUCAUCGAUUGACGUUACCCGCAGAAGAAGCACCGGCUAACUCCGUGCCAGCAGCCGCGGUAAUACGGAGGGUGCAAGCGUUAAUCGGAAUUACUGGGCGUAAAGCGCACGCAGGCGGUCUGUCAAGUCGGAUGUGAAAUCCCCGGGCUCAACCUGGGAACUGCAUUCGAAACUGGCAGGCUAGAGUCUUGUAGAGGGGGGUAGAAUUCCAGGUGUAGCGGUGAAAUGCGUAGAGAUCUGGAGGAAUACCGGUGGCGAAGGCGGCCCCCUGGACAAAGACUGACGCUCAGGUGCGAAAGCGUGGGGAGCAAACAGGAUUAGAUACCCUGGUAGUCCACGCUGUAAACGAUGUCGAUUUGGAGGUUGUGCCCUUGAGGCGUGGCUUCCGGAGCUAACGCGUUAAAUCGACCGCCUGGGGAGUACGGCCGCAAGGUUAAAACUCAAAUGAAUUGACGGGGGCCCGCACAAGCGGUGGAGCAUGUGGUUUAAUUCGAUGCAACGCGAAGAACCUUACCUGGUCUUGACAUCCACAGAACUUUCCAGAGAUGGAUUGGUGCCUUCGGGAACUGUGAGACAGGUGCUGCAUGGCUGUCGUCAGCUCGUGUUGUGAAAUGUUGGGUUAAGUCCCGCAACGAGCGCAACCCUUAUCCUUUGUUGCCAGCGGUUAGGCCGGGAACUCAAAGGAGACUGCCAGUGAUAAACUGGAGGAAGGUGGGGAUGACGUCAAGUCAUCAUGGCCCUUACGACCAGGGCUACACACGUGCUACAAUGGCAUAUACAAAGAGAAGCGACCUCGCGAGAGCAAGCGGACCUCAUAAAGUAUGUCGUAGUCCGGAUUGGAGUCUGCAACUCGACUCCAUGAAGUCGGAAUCGCUAGUAAUCGUAGAUCAGAAUGCUACGGUGAAUACGUUCCCGGGCCUUGUACACACCGCCCGUCACACCAUGGGAGUGGGUUGCAAAAGAAGUAGGUAGCUUAACCUUCGGGAGGGCGCUUACCACUUUGUGAUUCAUGACUGGGGUGAAGUCGUAACAAGGUAACCGUAGGGGAACCUGCGGUUGGAUCACCU